rnacentral:rRNA from 1 species
AACGAACGCUGGCGGCAUGCCUAACACAUGCAAGUCGAACGAGACCUUCGGGUCUAGUGGCGCACGGGUGCGUAACGCGUGGGAACCUGCCCUUAGGUUCGGAAUAACUCCCCGAAAGGGGUGCUAAUACCGGAUAAUGUCUUCGGACCAAAGAUUUAUCGCCUUUGGAUGGGCCCGCGUUGGAUUAGCUAGUUGGUAGGGUAAAAGCCUACCAAGGCGACGAUCCAUAGCUGGUCUGAGAGGAUGAUCAGCCACACUGGGCCUGAGACACGGCCCAGACUCCUACGGGAAGCAGCAGUGGGGAAUAUUGGACAAUGGGCGAAAGCCUGAUCCAGCAAUGCCGCGUGAGUGAUGAAGGCCUUAGGGUUGUAAAGCUCUUUUACCCGGGAUGAUAAUGACAGUACCGGGAGAAUAAGCUCCGGCUAACUCCGUG